GCCAAAGUAGCUCAGUUGGAGAGCGUUACACUGAAAAUCUAAAGGUCCUGGUUCAAUCCAGGUUUUGGCA